UUUUUUUUUUUUUUUUUUAUUCUAUCACUGCUUAAGUUUAAGUGCUGUAAAUUGUAAUAAAGAAACGCAUGUAGAGCUUAAUGAGUAUGAACUAAAAAACCAAUUUAGUGUUCGCAUAUUAAAACAAUCUUCUGAAAAUUGUGGUUUAGAAUUUGAAGAUGAAGCAGAAAUUGACAUCAGGGCAUUUUCUCCAGGAGUGAAACUCAUGCCUAGUUUAUCAUCAGAUUUCGAAUUUGGAUAUGCUAAUCAGAAGUUUAUAGUCGGAAAAUACAACGUCCCUGAUUUAAAUAAAGGUUUACGAGGGAUGUGUACAGGCGAACUAAGGCGCAUAGGCAUAUCAAUUAACAAUUUAGGUAAAAUAUAUUAUGAAGUAAUAUUGAAAAAUUAUAAAAAGAAAAGCCCGAAAAGUGAAGAACUUUAAUUUUUUUUUUUAUAACUUUUUUUUUUGU